rnacentral:rRNA from 1 species
UUAAGCGACUAAGCGUACACGGUGGAUGCCCUGGCAGUCAGAGGCGAUGAAGGACGUGCUAAUCUGCGAAAAGCGUCGGUAAGGUGAUAUGAACCGUUAUAGCCGGCGAUGUCCGAAUGGGGAAACCCAGUGCAAUUCGUUGCACUAUCGUUAACUGAAUACAUAGGUUAACGAGGCGAACCGGGGGAACUGAAACAUCUAAGUACCCCGAGGAAAAGAAAUCAACCGAGAUUCCCCCAGUAGCGGCGAGCGAACGGGGAGCAGCCCAGAGUCUGAAUCAGCUUGUGUGUUAGUGGAACGGUCUGGAAAGUCCGACGGUACAGGGUGAUAGUCCCGUACACCAAAAUGCACAGGCUGUGAACUCGAAGAGUAGGGCGGGACACGUGGUAUCCUGUCUGAAUAUGGGGGGACCAUCCUCCAAGGCUAAAUACUCCUGACUGACCGAUAGUGAACCAGUACCGUGAGGGAAAGGCGAAAAGAACCCCGGCGAGGGGAGUGAAAAAGAACCUGAAACCGUGUACGUACAAGCAGUGGGAGCACCUUCGGGUGUGACUGCGUACCUUUUGUAUAAUGGGUCAGCGACUUAUAUUCUGUAGCAAGGUUAACCGUAUAGGGGAGCCGCAGGGAAACCGAGUCUUAACUGGGCGUUAAGUUGCAGGGUAUAGACCCGAAACCCGGUGAUCUAGCCAUGGGCAGGUUGAAGGUUGGGUAACACUAACUGGAGGACCGAACCGACUAAUGUUGAAAAAUUAGCGGAUGACUUGUGGCUGGGGGUGAAAGGCCAAUCAAACCGGGAGAUAGCUGGUUCUCCCCGAAAGCUAUUUAGGUAGCGCCUCGUGAAUUCAUCUUCGGGGGUAGAGCACUGUUUCGGCUAGGGGGUCAUCCCGACUUACCAACCCGAUGCAAACUACGAAUACCGAAGAAUGUUAUCACGGGAGACACACGGCGGGUGCUAACGUCCGUCGUGAAGAGGGAAACAACCCAGACCGCCAGCUAAGGUCCCAAAGUCAUGGUUAAGUGGGAAACGAUGUGGGAAGGCACAGACAGCCAGGAUGUUGGCUUAGAAGCAGCCAUCAUUUAAAGAAAGCGUAAUAGCUCACUGGUCGAGUCGGCCUGCGCGGAAGAUGUAACGGGGCUAAACCAUGCACCGAAGCUGCGGCAGCGACACUAUGUGUUGUUGGGUAGGGGAGCGUUCUGUAAGCCUGCGAAGGUGACCUGUGAGGGUUGCUGGAGGUAUCAGAAGUGCGAAUGCUGACAUAAGUAACGAUAAAGCGGGUGAAAAGCCCGCUCGCCGGAAGACCAAGGGUUCCUGUCCAACGUUAAUCGGGGCAGGGUGAGUCGACCCCUAAGGCGAGGCCGAAAGGCGUAGUCGAUGGGAAACAGGUUAAUAUUCCUGUACUUGGUGUUACUGCGAAGGGGGGACGGAGAAGGCUAUGUUAGCCGGGCGACGGUUGUCCCGGUUUAAGCAUGUAGGCUGGUUAUCCAGGCAAAUCCGGAUAAUCAAGGCUGAGGUGUGAUGACGAGGCACUACGGUGCUGAAGUAACAAAUGCCCUGCUUCCAGGAAAAGCCUCUAAGCAUCAGGUAACAUCAAAUCGUACCCCAAACCGACACAGGUGGUCAGGUAGAGAAUACCAAGGCGCUUGAGAGAACUCGGGUGAAGGAACUAGGCAAAAUGGUGCCGUAACUUCGGGAGAAGGCACGCUGGUGUGUAGGUGAAGCCCCUGCGGGUGGAGCUGAGACCAGUCGAAGAUACCAGCUGGCUGCAACUGUUUAUUAAAAACACAGCACUGUGCAAACACGAAAGUGGACGUAUACGGUGUGACGCCUGCCCGGUGCCGGAAGGUUAAUUGAUGGGGUUAUCCGUAAGGAGAAGCUCUUGAUCGAAGCCCCGGUAAACGGCGGCCGUAACUAUAACGGUCCUAAGGUAGCGAAAUUCCUUGUCGGGUAAGUUCCGACCUGCACGAAUGGCGUAAUGAUGGCCAGGCUGUCUCCACCCGAGACUCAGUGAAAUUGAACUCGCUGUGAAGAUGCAGUGUACCCGCGGCAAGACGGAAAGACCCCGUGAACCUUUACUAUAGCUUGACACUGAACAUUGAGCCUUGAUGUGUAGGAUAGGUGGGAGGCUUUGAAGCGUGGACGCCAGUCUGCGUGGAGCCAACCUUGAAAUACCACCCUUUAAUGUUUGAUGUUCUAACGUUGGCCCCUUACCGGGGUUGCGGACAGUGUCUGGUGGGUAGUUUGACUGGGGCGGUCUCCUCCCAAAGCGUAACGGAGGAGCACGAAGGUUAGCUAAUCCUGGUCGGACAUCAGGAGGUUAGUGCAAUGGCAUAAGCUAGCUUGACUGCGAGCGUGACGGCGCGAGCAGGUGCGAAAGCAGGUCAUAGUGAUCCGGUGGUUCUGAAUGGAAGGGCCAUCGCUCAACGGAUAAAAGGUACUCCGGGGAUAACAGGCUGAUACCGCCCAAGAGUUCAUAUCGACGGCGGUGUUUGGCACCUCGAUGUCGGCUCAUCACAUCCUGGGGCUGAAGUAGGUCCCAAGGGUAUGGCUGUUCGCCAUUUAAAGUGGUACGCGAGCUGGGUUUAGAACGUCGUGAGACAGUUCGGUCCCUAUCUGCCGUGGGCGCUGGAGAAUUGAGGGGGGCUGCUCCUAGUACGAGAGGACCGGAGUGGACGCAUCACUGGUGUUCGGGUUGUCAUGCCAAUGGCACUGCCCGGUAGCUAAAUGCGGAAGAGAUAAGUGCUGAAAGCAUCUAAGCACGAAACUUGCCCCGAGAUGAGUUCUCCCUGAGACUUUAAGUCUCCUGAAGGAACGUUAAAGACGAUGACGUUGAUAGGCCGGGUGUGUAAGCGCAGCGAUGCGUUGAGCUAACCGGUACUAAUGAACCGUGAGGCUUAACCUU